rnacentral:rRNA from 1 species
GACAGAGGAUGCAAGCGUUAUCCGGAAUGAUUGGGCGUAAAGCGUCUGUAGGUGGCUUCUUAAGUCCGCUGUCAAAUCCCAGGGCUUAACCCUGGCCAGGCGGUGGAGACUACCAAGCUUGAGUACGGUAGGGGCAGAGGGAAUUUCCGGUGGAGCGGUGAAAUGCGUAGAGAUCGGAAAGAACACCAAGGGCGAAGGCACUCUGCUGGGCCGACACUGACACUGAGAGACGAGAGCUAGGGGAGCAAAUGGG